UAUCUUACACCGUGGUGCCGGCUCAGCCCUCCCCGAUGCUACUGCGGUAGCGGUCGAAAAAGCGCCGAAAGAAGAUAUGGAACGACUAAUAUCGAGCCUGUCGGAGGGUCCAGCUCAAGUGUCUACAUCCCUAAUGAUUCAGCUUUUCAGUACUGUGUACAGCUAGAAGAUGCCUUUGGGCUAUGAAUAUACGAUAACACUCCAAGAAGAAAUCAGACCUGAUGAUGAACAUAUCAACCAAAUCAAUGACAAGGAGGCCACCCAAGGGCAUGACUCUUGGCAUAGAGUUUCGGAUCUGUGAACACCGCCUAUUGACUGUAAGUCAAGACAAGGUCGACGAGCUGAACAAUGCUCUCCGCGGCAAGUCAGUAAGUGAUUGCUUUCUGUUAAUUCAAUUACACUUCCUUUGGUUUUUGUCACAAGCUGUUAGUGUAUAUGUCAACUCUACCCAUUUUACGUAACGUUUACGAAUUCGGAGGCACCUAAGCCGGCCCUGACCCACUUACAUGUUUAUCGAAGUGGAGAAAAGCAUUCGAACUUAAAAUAAGCUAUUUAAUAAACACUUUUUCACGAAAAGUACUUCGAUGCAUUUCACCAGAAGUGGAUUUAUUGGCAAUCAAACGCGGCGUUCGCG
rnacentral:lncRNA from 1 species